rnacentral:rRNA from 1 species
GACGAACGCUGGCGGCGUGCUUAAUACAUGCAAGUCGAACGGAAAGGCCCUGCUUGCAGGGUGCUCGUGUUGCGAACGGGUGAGUAACACGUGGGUGAUCUGCCCCUUUCUUUGGGAUAAGCCUCUGAAACUGGGUCUAAUACUUGCUAGUACCAUUCUGUAGGUGGUUUGGUGGAAAGAUUAGUUUCGGUAAGGGAUGAGCUCUCGGCAUAUCAGCUUGUUGUUGGGGUAAUGGUCUACCAAGGCGUCGACGGGUAGCCGGUCUGAGAGGGUGGACGGCCACAUUGAGACUGAGAUAGGGCGCAGACUCCUACGGGAGGCAGCAGUGGGGAAUAGUGCAGAAGGGGCGCAAGCCGGAUGCAGCGACGGCGCGUGGGGGAUGACAGCCUUCGGGUUGUAAACUACUUUCAGCGAUGACGAAGCCCUUGUGGUGACGGUAGUGGUAGAAGAAGCACCGGCUAAAUACGUG